AUGAUCCUCGGAUCUUUAGAUCACGUGAUAAUUUUUCCUUUGACCUUUCUGCACUUUUCUCUCACUAACCAACUUCUGGAGCUAAAUGGGAUCGGUCCAAUAGAUUGGCAACUAUGAUUUAUAUUUUAGAGUUUCAAGUCUUUAUUCCUUUAACAUAAUACUUUUUGAAGCCUUUAAGUGCAAGCUGUGGGGUGCUUAUAUGAGCUCAUUUUCCUUAAUGUAAUGAUAAGUCUUCUACUAAGAAAAAAGAUGGUUCUGUCAUUAGUUUGGCCCUACAGUGUUGUCACUUUUGAAGAUUGUGCACUACUGACCAAUGGUCUUUACUCUACAUUAUGUCCCACCGUUGUUGUAGGAUAUUAUACGGAUUUCAUCUAUUAACAAUGU